rnacentral:rRNA from 1 species
GACGAACGCUGGCGGCAGGCCUAACACAUGCAAGUCGAGCGGAUCGGCGGACGGGUGAGUGAUGCCUAGGAAUCUGCCUGGCAGUGCGGGAUAACGUCCGGUAACGGGCGCUAAUACUGCAUACUAUCAGAUGAGCCUAGGUCGGAUUAGCUAGUUGGUGGGGUAAAGGCCUACUAAGGCGACGAUCCGUAACUGGUCUGAGAGGAUGAUCAGUCACACUGGAACUGAGAAACGGUCCAGACUCCGACGGGAGGCAGCAGUGGGGAAUAUUGGACAAGGGGCGAAAGCCUGAUCCAGCCAUGCGGCGUGUGUGAAGAAGGUCUUCGGAUUGUAAAGCACUUUAAGUUGGGAGGCGUUACCAACAGAAUAAGCACCGGCUAACUACGUGCCAGCAGCCGCGGUAAUUC